rnacentral:rRNA from 1 species
AACGAACGCUGGCGGCAUGCCUAACACAUGCAAGUCGAACGAGACCUUCGGGUCUAGUGGCGCACGGGUGCGUAACGCGUGGGAACCUGCCCUUAGGUUCGGAAUAACUCCCCGAAAGGGGUGCUAAUACCGGGUAAUGUCUUCGGACCAAAGAUUUAUCGCCUUUGGAUGGGCCCGCGUUGGAUUAGCUAGUUGGUAGGGUAAAAGCCUACCAAGGCGACGAUCCGUAGCUGGUCUGAGAGGAUGAUCAGCCACACUGGGACUGAGACACGGCCCAGACUCCUACGGGAGGCAGCAGUGGGGAAUAUUGGACAAUGGGCGAAAGCCUGAUACAGCAAUGCCGCGUGAGUGAUGAAGGCCUUAGGGUUGUAAAGCUCUUUUACCCGGGAUGAUAAUGACAGUACCGGGAGAAUAAGCUCCGGCUAACUCCGUG